rnacentral:lncRNA from 1 species
CUCUCAUGUGACUAUUCUCCAGUUUCUUCAUGUUGGCAUUUAGUGCCAUGAACUUUCCUCUUAGCACUGCUUUCAAAAUGUCCUGUAAGUUUGGGUCGGAGAAUUCUGCAAGUCCAGACACAGAAAACCUCUAAUAAGAGCCUUCAUCCAGUAGCUGAUGGAAGCAGAAUUACAUACCCACAGCUAAACACUGAGCCGAACUCCUGCAAUCCAGUUGCAGGGAGCAAGGAGUGAUGAGCAAAGGUGUCAAGAGCAUGCUGGUGUAACCUACAGAAACAUCUGACCUGAACAAGGAGGAGCUCAUGGACCACAGACUGACAGCUGGGAAACCAGCACAGGACUGACCCUGUGCUGAUCCCUGAUCAUGGGUGUCAGUUAGGAGGCCUGAGCAAUCUAUGGGGCCUCUGGCAGUGAAUCAGUAUUCAUCCCUAGUAUAUGAAUGGACUUUGGGAGCCCAUUCAACAUAGAGGCAUACUCUCUCAGCCUAGAUACACAGGGAGGGCCUAGGCCCUGCUCCAAAUGAUAUGACAGACUUUGAAGAUUCCCCCAAGGAAGGCCCCAUCUUCCUUGGGGAGCAGAAGAGGGAUGGGAUGGGGGUUGGUGGAGGCAGGGGAGAAGAGGAGGGAGAGGGAACUGGGAUUGACAUGUAAGACAAGCUUGUUUCUAAUUUAAAUUUUUUUUAAAAAGUUUGUCAUUUACCAGGUAUUGCCCAAGAGAUAACAUAAGAAUUUAUAGACACUCAGAAGAGUUUUCAAGUAGAACAGCUCUUAAAAGAUUGUAAUUAUUUUAGAGACAUUUCGGAUUUCUGAAAAAUUACAUAGUAUUAUUACAAUCUUUUGGCCAACAUGCCAUUCCCCCUUGUGGUAGUUUGAUAAAAAUGUCCCUUGUAGGUUCAUAUAUUUUAAUGAUUAGUCACCAGUUAGUAGAACUAAUAAGGAUUAGGAGUUAUGGCCUGGUUGGAGAACAUUGUGUCACUAGGGUUGGGCUUUGAGGUUUUAAAAGCCCAUGCCAGACCCAGUGUUUGUCUCUGUGACUAUGGUUCAGGUUGUAAAACUCUUAGUUACUAUUCCAAUGUCAUGUCUCUUUGCUUCCCACCAUUACAGCCAUGAAUUAACCCUCUAAAACUGUAAGCAAGGCCCCAAUUAAAUGUUUUUUUUUCUUAUAAGAGUUGGUUUGGUCAUGGCAUCUCUUCAUAUGAAUGGAACAUUACUAAAACACCACUACUAAUAGCUUCUACUGGUAAAGUAUAUCUGUACUAUUUGAACAAUAUUGAUUUAUAAUCCUUUACUAAAGAUUGACUAGAAUUCAGUUUUGUAUUCUACUGUGGUUUUAUUUCUUCUUUGCCUUUCUGUCCAUUUGGUUUUGAAAAUUGCAAAAUAAUAUUUAUGUGUGAUAAUAGCAUAAUAUACAAUGUAUUUUCUUCUGAGAGUCCACAAUUCUCAACCUAUUCAUCCCUUCCUACUGUUACAAUAAAC